rnacentral:rRNA from 1 species
AUUGAACGCUGGCGGAAUGCUUUACACAUGCAAGUCGAGCGGCAGCACGGGGGCAACCCUGGUGGCGAGCGGCGAACGGGUGAGUAAUACAUCGGAACAUGCCCAGUCGUGGGGGAUAACACUUCGAAAGAAGUGCUAAUACCGCAUACGUCCUGAGGGAGAAAGCGGGGGAUCGCAAGACCUCGCGCGAUUGGAGUGGCCGAUGUCAGAUUAGCUAGUUGGUGGGGUAAAGGCCUACCAAGGCAACGAUCUGUAGCUGGUCUGAGAGGAUGAUCAGCCACACUGGGACUGAGACACGGCCCAGACUCCUACGGGAGGCAGCAGUGGGGAAUUUUGGACAAUGGGGGCAACCCUGAUCCAGCCAUUCCGCGUGAGUGAAGAAGGCCUUCGGGUUGUAAAGCUCUUUCGGCAGGAACGAAACGGCGAGCUCUAACAUAGCUUGCUAAUGACGGUACCUGAAGAAGAGGCACCGGCUAACUACGUG